GUCAGAAUGGCCGAGCGGUCUAAGGCGCCAGACUCAAGCGUUGACUUUCCUUCUACAUGAAGUAUAGAGUGUUCUGGUCCACGAAUGUGGGCGUGGGUUCGAAUCCCACUUCUGACA
rnacentral:tRNA from 1 species